ensembl:snRNA U6 U6 spliceosomal RNA
GUGCUCGCUUUGGCAGCACAUACACUAAAAUUGAAACAAUACAGAGAAGAUUAGCAUGGCCCCCGCACAAGGAUGACGUGCAAAUUUGUGAAGCAUUUCAUUUUUUA